UCCUUAAUAAUAGGCUGCCAGUACCUGACGACAUCUUUGAUAGUGAAUUUGUAGAAGCAUGCGUACUGGCCCGACUCAAUUCCACAGCACUGGAAUGUGCUGACACACCUGAAGCUGCAGGACAGCAGCCAGCACAAGAUCUGGUCUUGGACAACCCUGGCAGUCCGCUUAUCAUCAGGAGUGAGGACUGUGAACUUAUAGAUGCGGAAGAUGAUGUGGACCUCCCAGGUGCUAGAACCUCCGCUCAUCCUGUACUAAAAAAAGGCACCUGCUCUGCUCGCAGCAGUAGUGCCACAGCUGCCACCCAAAACCAGUCCUUCACAGGACGAAAGAGGAAGGCAGCAGAAAGCAAAUCUGCUGCUUAUGGCAGGUGUGCCAAGCAGCAGAAACACUUUCGUGAUGAACUGGCCUCAACAUUUGAGGCCCUUGCUGCAAAAGUGGCAACAACGCUGGACAGCAUAGCUUCUGCUGCCGAUAAAAUUGGGUUGGCAGCAGACAGAAUGG
rnacentral:lncRNA from 1 species